rnacentral:rRNA from 1 species
GACGAACGCUGGCGGCGUGCUUAACACAUGCAAGUCGAACGGAAAGGCCCUGCUUUUGUGGGGUGCUCGAGUGGCGAACGGGUGAGUAACACGUGAGUAACCUGCCCUUGACUUUGGGAUAACUUCAGGAAACUGGGGCUAAUACCGGAUAGGAGCUCCUGCUGCAUGGGGGGGGUUGGAAAGUUUCGGCGGUUGGGGAUGGACUCGAGGCUUAUCAGCUUGUUGGUGGGGUAGUGGCUUACCAAGGCUGUGACGGAUAGCCGGCCUGAGAGGGUGACCGGCCACAUUGGGACUGAGAGACGGAGCAGACUCCUACGGGAGGCAGCGGUGGGGAAUAUUGCACAAUGGGCGGGAGCCUGAUGCAGCAGCGCCGCGUGCGGGAUGACGGCCUUCGGGUGGUAAACCGCUUUCGCCGGUGACGAAGCGGGAGUGACGGUAAUUGGUAAAGAAGCACCGGCUAACUACGUG